rnacentral:lncRNA from 1 species
GUGCUCCUGGGGCCCUGGGGCAGGCCCUCUCCCUUCCCUACACCUUAUCAAUCCUGGUCCUUCAACAGCAAAUCCCCAACGCUCACAAGGACUGGGUGUGCGCCCUGGCCUUUGUACCCGGCCGGCCCAUGUUACUGAGCGCCUGCCGGGCAGGCUUCAUCAAGGUCUGGAAUGUGGACAACUUCACGCCCAUUGGUGAGAUCAAGGGCCAUGACAGCCCCAUCAAUGCCAUCUGCACCAACAGCAAGCACAUCUUCACGGCCUCCAGGUAGGUGCUAAGCAGAGAGAGCCGCUUUACUCCUCCCUUCCUAGAGUGACCGGGUUGACAACUGCCUCAGGGCUCUGAGGUGUCCCCCCACGCAGUUCCGAUUCACAGAGCAGAACCCCACAAUAUACCUACUGUUCACUGAGCACUAAGCACCAAUGUCCUGGAUGCUGCAGUAGGCAGGGGAUCAGGGAGUCACUGGGCCCCAGGCCAGGACUUGCCCCAGCAGUGAUCCCAAUCACUCUCGCCCCUG